UUUUCUUCUCUGCCUCUUUGUGGCCCUCUCUUCUUCUUUAUCCCUGGCUUUCCACCCUCUUUUGCCUUCUCUUUACCUCUGCUGUGGCUCUCGGUUUUCCUGUGCUCCUCCCCACCCCACCCCACCCUGACACACACAUUCUGGAGCUUUUCAUCUACCUCUGCUUGCUACUGAAGCUGUCAUGGUUACCACCAUUUACCACUGCUGCCUCUCCCACUGCUGCUGUUGUGAUGAUCAGGACCAUGGCUGCUUCUCCCUGCAUGGUUGUGGCUCCCAAGAUUGCUACUGUUACUGCUGCUGCUGCUGCUGCCCCUCCCCCUGCCCCCACCCUCCAUGCCCGCCGCCCCCACACCCCCACACCCCCACACCCCAUCUGUAGAUCAGGCUGGCCUCGAACUCAGAAAUCCGCCUGCCUCUGCCUCCCAAGUGCUGAGAUUAAAGGCAUGCACCACCACCGCCCGGCUGUUACUUCCUUCUUGAUCCCAGACUUUCCCACCAGCAACAGAGACAGGCAGGAAAAGAGCACCUGGGAGAAGCUUUCCUACUGCCGAUGCCACAGCAGCACAAGACCGUGUUUCCCGGCAGCCCGCUUAUCUGGCCAAAGACGGUUUCCUCCUCACACAAUCACAGAGGACCUGUGUGCAAGUGAAAGUAUUGUUUCUGCGCGGCCCAUGGCAUGCCGUCUUUCCCACCGGUUACAGUUCCUCUGCUAGACAAACAGGAAUGUUCUGCUCUGGACUAGGUGAAACUGACUAGGUAAGUCUGUAACACGCUGGGGAUGCAUUUCAGGAACUGUAGCUGACCUACAGCAGAGGCAGUUGUGGUUGUCAUAGAACCUCCUCAAAGCAUCCGAGGGGGUGCUUGAAACAGCUAGAGUCCUCCACUCAAGGUAUCUAGGCAUCAAAGAAGGGUUUAGUAGCUCUGAAUUAGUGAGUCCUAGCACCCCAUCCCCAACAUCUUAGCUAAUUUACAGAGGAAAAUGAACAUAAGAGAGAUUGCUUAAAAUAAUGAUUCAUCAUGAACGUUAACAAUGAUUAAAUAGUGUUGACUGUUGCUUUAACUACACUUAAUAUAUCUCCUAUACCCCAGGAGAGAUUUAUUGUUCUAAUUUGCCUCAUCCCCAGGACCACAGCGUCUGUGUUCAUCAGAGCCACAGAUCCUCACGGAGCCUCAAAAGAGUUUUUAUUGGGAUUUUUCUUAGUAUAAGUCAUGGGUUAAAUCACUGGCCACAUUAAAAAUCUCAGCCUGUUUCCUUUGCUAGUUGGUUUAUACUCAGGUCAGUUUGAGCAAGAAUUCGAACACUUUAAUCCCUGGUGGGUCUUCAUCCUAAUCAUGCCUGUCUUAAAGUAUCUAAGAGUUAACCGAUCAGCCUAAAUAGCAAAGACACCCUUAUCAGGAAGGCCCAGAGGGUCAUAGAAGCUAAGAACCAUACCAAAUAUAAUCUUUAUAAUGAUAUCAUACUUCCUUGUGAAGACUUAAAACCCAGUAGGAUUUCAGCUUCAGCUUUCUCCUUUCGUUGUGGGGAGUUGUCUUAAGCAAGGAGGAUUCUUUGGGUUACAUAUGCUGAGACAGUAGGAAGGUAAGUCAGGCCGUUUCCUGCAGGGGAGGCUGAAGCAAGCACAGCCAGGACAGUGCAGAGAAGGUACGCGGAUGGAUAAUGAGCUGCAUGCAGUGAUGUGACCUGACAAGGGAAGAGAUGUGGGAACCGGAGAGGAGAGCUUGAGAAACAAAAAAAUCCCAGCUGAGUUAGCUUUUUGUUUUUUUCCUGCUCUGGUUUAAAUAUGAAGUGUCCCCCACAGACUCAUGUGUUUGAACACUUUGUCACCAGCUGGUGGCACUGUUUAGGAAGACUGUGGAACAUUUGGAGGUAGAGCUUUGAUGGAAGACGUGCCCCUGGGGACUCACGUUGUGGGUCCAUAUUCUGCCUCGAAGUUGAGGUGUGUGAAUGCCUCUCGGGCAGAUGAAACACGAGGGCGCUAGGCUACAUUCCAUCCUCAAGCCAUUGGGGUGCCUGGUUCUCAGAACUCCAACACCUGCUGGGGAGGGCGGAAGGCAGCCUAAGAUGGAGACCCCAGCCUGGGUAAGAGACAGAGCAGGCUAUGGUUCUCAAACUCCUGGACACCCAGACUCUGCUGGGAACCAUAAGGAGUCGGAAACAGGGCUGAGGGUGGGUGGUGAGCUGGAGGCAAGAGGGUCAGGGGGGAAUCCAGCUUAGCCCAGGAUGAGUGUCAGGUUUACAGAGCGACCUUCUUUGGGAGACUCAGGUAGCACGGCUUAAUAAAUGAUUCACCACAUGGUGGUUCUUGAUGAGACAGUCCUUGCUUGUCCAGACUGUUUAUCCAUAGUGCUAAGUGGAUGCAUCCUUUUGCAGAAGGGAGUGUCUGGGAAGGGAAGCUAAUUGUCCAAACCCUUGGGCCCAUCUAGAUACCUCAUUAGCAUGGAGAGCUCCGGGCUCUUUGCUAAGAAUGUGGCCAGUUGCCAUCGCUUUCUUAGUGGGGUGUCGUGGUCACAUGCUCCAGGACAGGAACUGGGUGGGGAGCAAUCCAAAUGCCUACUGUUCUCAAUUACGAGAUUUUCCCCGAGUUUCUUAAUCUGCCCGACCUGUCUAGUUUUUCUGUCUGGGGACACCGGUCCACUUGCCCCACACCACGCUCCACUUUCUGAGCGUGGAGAUAAUGAGACAAGCCAUAUUCCCUGCAACCACGAUGGGCUGCAUCCCUCAGAACCAUAGGUCAAAUGAAUCCUUUCUCUCUCCAGCUGCUUCUGUCAGAGCAUUUAAUUGUAUCAAUCAGAAUGGAUAGAACACAUCACCACGAUUCCUCCAAAGAUGGAUUCAAGUCCCCUCAAACCAGGAGCCAACAUUAAGUCCUUCAUUGACUUCGUCAGUUUUUCUGCUGCAAUGAUAAGAAGAAUAGCUAACACCAUGGGAAGGCGAUUCUCCGAAGCUCACGGAAUCUGGGGAUUCACUCAUCGUCGUAUAAACACACCAUGUGGGUUAAAACGAGGACAAAUCCAGAUACUCACCAUUAGGGAAUGUCAAUGCAUUUCAACUGCUUGGCCCCACAAGGUCAAAACACAGCCACAGUGUCUUCUCACAAUCCUCCAGGCUCUUCCCAGAUUACAGAGAGUGAUCUGGUCCUAUUCAAGAGGACAGAGUAUCCACCAGGCUCUGUCAAAGCUGCUCAGCAAAGACCAGAUAACCUCAGUUUGCUGUGAAGGAUAGCAGGGGUUGCUCCCGGGGUACCUGGUCCUCCUGUGUGAAAUGGGUAUGUGCUCUUUAUCCUCACAGCCAGGAAACUGGACUAACAACAGUGCAUAAAACUAUUUGUUUUGUUCUGUCUUUAGAAAUCAUUUUAGGGUUUUACAGACUGGGGAGCAAACAAUCAAUGCUGAAUAUUGAAUAAUCCCCUUGUCAUCACGAGUAACAGUCAUCCAAGGUUUUUAAAGCCCUUUCAUUUUGAAACACUCAGACGUCUCCUAGCUCGACCCUCCUCUGCCUUUACCUCUCUGCAGGAGACAGGCAAGCCUCUCUGCCAUGCUGAUUUGACCAGCAGCAAUGUGAUGUGAGCAUUGAGCAGUGUCACAAUGCGCCCAUCCGAGGGCUGUGGGAAUGUGGGCCAUUUGAGAGCUGGCAGCAGCAUAGUCUUGGUCAUGAAACCUUCCCAAGUAAAACAUUAAUUAACAUGAAGUGGGGUGUGACACCUCCCAUCUCAAGAUGGACUUCAAGAUGUCCAGUAUCUGUUUUAGCUGCCCAUCAAGUGGCUAAACCCCUCAGGACUAAGUAUUGGUCCAUUAAGAACUAUUUGUUAGGCUCCCUCCGGCUUGUAGACCUGCUGCCCUACUCCUCACCUGUCUAUGUGUUUGAGCUGAGCAUCACCAUAGCCAAAGCCCCUUGGCAGGGGAGCUUUCAGGUCUUAGUGAACAGGAAACAAGGAAAGAGGUAAUGCCAGAAGCACUUAGCAUAAGACCUAGCAACAGGCUCCAUUGACUGACUUCUUCCAUGAAGGCCCCAACCCCUAGCUUUCAUCACCUCUUUAAAAUGCCUUCAUAUUAGAAAUCCACCAAGGAAUUAACACAUAGGUCACAGACCUUAUGGUCAAAUUAUCUCUAGAAAUGACACUGCAGAUAUACUCGAAGGUGUGUUUCUCAAAUCUUGUAGGCCUUCCUUAAUCCAUCCAAGGUGACAGUCACAAUUAACCAUCGAAGAUCCACCACUCGUCAACCUGGCACCUGAACACAUCACUUUAAACCCUACAAUUCCCCCCUGGAGCCUCAAACAGGGACACAACCACGCCACACAACAUUCAGUGCUUACAUAAAAGUCCACCAAAGUCUUAACAUUCCCAACACUAUUCACAAGCCAAGGCUCAAAACCUUUAUGACUUGAGGCAAACUCUUAGCUAUGAGACACUAAAAUUUCAAAACUAAAACCAAGGGCUGGAGAGAUGGCUCUGUAGUUAAGAGCUGAGCUGCCCUUCCAGAGGACUGGGAUCAAUCCCAAACACCCCUGUGCCUGCACACAAUCAUGCAUAACUCCAGCUAGCCAGUCUGACUCCCUGUUCUGAGGUCUGAGGGUAUUAGAUACAUGAGUGCUGCAUUGGUGGUCCUGGGUUCUAUAAGAAAGCAGACUGAGCAACCCAGUAAGCAGCACCCCACAUGGCUUCUGCAUCAGCUCCUGCCUACAGGUUCCUGCCCUGCCUGAGUUCCUGUCCUGGCUUUCUUGAGUGAUGGACUACAGUGUUGACGCGUAAGCCAAAUGAUCCUUUUUUUUUCUCCCCAGCUUGCUUUCUAGUCAUGCAACAUGUUUCAGUGCAACAAUAGAAACCCUAAGUAAGAUGAGUUGGUACCAGGAUUGUGGGUAUUGCUAUCACAGACCUGACCAUGUUGUUUGAGGGAGGAUUGUGGAAGGACUUUGGAACUUUGGGCUAGAAAAGCCAUUGAGUGUUGAGAGCUCAGUGGGAUGUUCUGUGGGUGCUUGGAAGGUAAGAGUGUUGAAAGCAAUGCAGACAACGGAGGCCUGGCUUGGGAAGUUUCAGAGAGAAGCAAAGACUCUACCAGGCCACUUGUGUGAGGAAUCUGUGUUGUCUGGUCAGCUGGGGCUGAAGAAUCAGCUGUGAUUAAGAAAUCAGCGUCACCGAGGUGAAAUCUUCUGGGAAGUGUUUUUUCAGGGUCAGCACACAGAAGUUGUGUUCCACAGAUGGCCAGUGUUGUAUCUUGCACUGGCAGACAAACUUCAUAGUAUAAAAAUCACCCAGGCAGACUCGUUUUGAAGGCAUGAAGGGGUCCUAGAAAGCAGCUAAGGCUUGACAUCGUGAGAGGCCAAGAAAGGACAUUGGUGACGGUGCAGCUGUAGUAGUAAUUGAACCCCCAGGGUUAAAGGAGCCAUGCUGAGAAAUUGAGGCCUUGUACCAUGAAGAGAGCCAGGACAGGCUCCUGUCGAGUGCAGCCCAGUUGCAGCAGAAGGCCCCAGUAUUCUGAAGAUGCCAGUACCAUGGGAUGACCACCAAGACAAUAGCACUGUGGAGUGGUGCCAGCCUGAGCCUAGAAGACAAGCUGUGUGGAAAGACAGCAGGGUCAGAGGAGCGACCCAAGCCCUCUGGCGGAGCCCAGGUGAUGCUGAGUGAAUCCCAGAUAAUUGCACAGCGAGUUAGCCCAUACUUCUGAGUGAUGGACUACAAUGUGGAAGUGUGAGCUGAAUAAACCCUUUCCUCGCCCAACUUGCUUUUGAUCAUGGCAUUUUGCUGCAGCAAUAGAAACUCUAAGAAACCUAUGGAGGGUUUGAACCUUGUGACAUUCCUGUCUCAGCUUCCUGAGUUGUUGGGGUUCCAGAGGGAGCGAUCAGGCAAGGAGGAAAGUCUUUGCUUUCCAUAGCCUUCUGAGCACCCAG
rnacentral:lncRNA from 1 species